rnacentral:rRNA from 1 species
UACGGAGGAUGCAAGCGUUAUCCGGAAUGAUUGGGCGUAAAGCGUCCGCAGGUGGCUGUGUAAGUCUGCUGUUAAAGAGUCAUGCUCAACAUGAUAAGAGCAGUGGAAACUACACGGCUAGAGUGCGUUCGGGGCAGAGGGGAUUCCUGGUGUAGCGGUGAAAUGCGUAGAGAUCAGGAAGAACACCGGUGGCGAAAGCGCUCUGCUAGGCCGCAACUGACACUGAGGGACGAAAGCUAGGGGAGCGAAUGGG